rnacentral:rRNA from 1 species
UGAGCCAAGUUUAGGGUUUUCUCAAAACCCAAGCAGUAUUGAACUGAAGAGUUUGAUCAUGGCUCAGAUUGAACGCUGGCGGCAGGCCUAACACAUGCAAGUCGAGCGGAUGAAGGGAGCUUGCUCCUGGAUUCAGCGGCGGACGGGUGAGUAAUGC